rnacentral:rRNA from 1 species
CAAACAUGAGAGUUUGAUCCUGGCUCAGAACGAACGCUGGCGGCAUGCCUAACACAUGCAAGUCG